rnacentral:rRNA from 1 species
AUGAACGCUGGCGGCGUGCCUAAUACAUGCAAGUCGAGCGAACAGAUGAGGAGCUUGCUCCUCUGACGUUAGCGGCGGACGGGUGAGUAACACGUGGAUAACCUACCUAUAAGACUGGGAUAACUUCGGGAAACCGGAGCUAAUACCGGAUAAUAUAUUGAACCGCAUGGUUCAAUAGUGAAAGACGGUUUUGCUGUCACUUAUAGAUGGAUCCGCGCCGCAUUAGCUAGUUGGUAAGGUAACGGCUUACCAAGGCAACGAUGCGUAGCCGACCUGAGAGGGUGAUCGGCCACACUGGAACUGAGACACGGUCCAGACUCCUACGGGAGGCAGCAGUAGGGAAUCUUCCGCAAUGGGCGAAAGCCUGACGGAGCAACGCCGCAUGAGUGAUGAAGGUCUUCGGAUCGUAAAACUCUGUUAUUAGGGAAGAACAAAUGUGUAAGUAACUAUGCACGUCUUGACGGUACCUAAUCAGAAAGCCACGGCUAACUACGUG